GACGAACGCUGGCGGCGUGCUUAACACAUGCAAGUCGAACGGAAAGGCCCUGCUUUUGUGGGGUGCUCGAGUGGCCAACGGGUGAGUAACACGUGAGUAACCUGCCCCUGACUUUGGGAUAACUUCAGGCAACUGGUGCUAAUACCGGAUAGGAGCUCCUGCUGCAUGGUGGGGGUUGGAAAGUUUCGGCGGUUGGUGAUGGACUGGCGGCUUAUCAGCUUGUUGGUGGGGUAGUGGCUUACCAAUGCUUUGACGGGUAGCCGAGCUGAGAGGGUGACCGGCCACACUGGGACUGAGAUGCGGCACAGACUCAUAUGGGAGGCAGGGGUGGAGAGUGGUGCACAGUGGGAGGAGGGCUGAUGCAGCACAGCCGUGCGGGGGAUGACGGGCUUGGGGUAGUAAACCGAUUUCGUCUGUGACGAGGCGUGAGUGACGGUAAUGGGUGAAGAAGCACCGGCUAACUACGUG
rnacentral:rRNA from 1 species